ACUCACCUGCUCUAGCCCCUCCUUGAGCAAACAGGGUGAGGCUGGGCUCCUAGCAGGAACCCUAACAUCCGGGUGGCCCCGCCGCACCCUUGCAAACGCCACAUCCUGCUCCAGGACCCUCAGGUUUGGAGCUGAACCAACGGUCUUGGUGGAGGGGCAGCAAACAGCCUCUUGGCCCCUCUCUUCUCCCAGCCUGCUUUGCGCUCUGAGAAGAAGCUGCAGGCUGAUUGCCCACAGCUGAGUGGCUUGACCAUCCAUGUGUUUACAAAUGUGUUUUUAAUUAGCGACCAAUUUUUAAAAUUGGAGAGGUUUCACUUUUAAAAAUCUGAAUUUCUAGGGGCGCCUGGGUGGCGCAGUCGGUUAAGCGUCCGACAUCAGCCAGGUCACGAUCUCGCGGUCCGUGAGUUCGAGCCCUGCGUCGGGCUCUGGGCUGAUGGCUCAGAGCCUGUUUCCGAUUCUGUGUCUCCCUCUCUCUCUGCCCCUCCCCCGUUCAUGCUCUGUCUCUCUCUGUCCCAAAAAUAAAAUAAAAAACGUUGAAAAAAAAAUUAAAAAUCUGAAUUUCUAAUUUGUCUCAUUUCCAGUCUUUCUAAAUUUUCUGGAGAGACCUGUUGCGGCCACACCCGGCUCCCAUUCCUACUUGGCAACCAAGGGUGGACCCAGAGCUGGAAGCAGGACAGCGGAAUGGCGCGAACAGCCACCUGCAUGAUCCAGUUAGUGUUCCUGGGGCUUCAGGCCCGACGAGUGGAUUCUAGCCUGGGUGCCUUUGCCCACUCCAGGCAUUUCUGUAAAACCGGACUCUUACCUCCUAGGGGGGCUGGACCCGAUUCCCACACCUCCUACUUAUUUAUCCCAGAGGUUCUGAGCCCAGGGUCCAGUCGUGGUUUGGGAGAACGACUGUGAGCCGCCUGAAUUUGUAAAACUGGGUAUGUGGGCGCAUUUCUAGACAGAGGACCCUUAAGUUGAUCCCACGUCCCAGCCCGCAUCCCAGGACUUUUAGGAGGCCAAGC
rnacentral:lncRNA from 1 species